rnacentral:rRNA from 1 species
GGAUGGAGACUUCGGUCGAAAGAGGCUGAGAUAGUGGCGGACGGGUGAGUAACGCGUGAACAACCUACCUUGCACAGGGGGAUAACACAUGGAAACGUGUGCUAAUACCGUAUAAGACCACAGUGCCGCAUGGCACAGGGGUCAAAGGAGCAAUCCGGUAUAAGAGGGGUUCGCGUCCCAUUAGCUAGUUGGUGGAGUAACGGUUCACCAAGGCAACGAUGGGUAUCCGAGCUGAGAGGCUGAACGGACACACUGGGACUGAGAUACGGCCCAGACUCCUACGGGAGGCAGCAGGGAGGAAUAUUGGUCAAUGGGGGAAACCCUGAACCAGCAACGCCGCGUGAAGGAAGAAGGCCCUCGGGUUGUAAACUUCUGUUUUCAGGGACGAAGAAAGUGACGGUACCUGAAGAGAAAGCUCCGGCAAACUACGUGCCAGCAGCCGCGGUAAUACGUAGGGAGCGAGCGUUGUCCGGAAUCACUGGGCGUAAAGGCGCGUAGGCGGUUUUACAAGUUGCAUGUGAAAGACCAUGGCUUAACCAUGGGGUGUCAUGCAAAACUGUAGGGCUUGAGUGCAGUAGAGGAAAGCGGAAUUCCUGGUGUAGCGGUAAAAUGCGUAGAGAUCAGGAGGAACACCGGUGGCGAAGGCGGCUUUCUGGGCUGUAACUGACGCUGAGGUGCGGAAGCGUGGGGAGCGAACAGGAUUAGAUACCCUGGUAGUCCACGCCGUAAACGAUGAAUAUUAGGUGUAGGCCUUUAAGGUCUGUGCCGGAGCAAACGCAAUAAAUAUUCGCCUGGGGAGUACGGCCGCAAGGUUGAAACUCAAAGGAAUUGACGGGACCCCGCACAAGCAGCGGAGCAUGUUGUUUAAUUCGAAGCAACGCGAAGAACCUUACCAGGGCUUGACAUCCUACAAAUCUGCCAGAGAUGGCGGAGUGCCCUUCGGGGAAUGUAGAGACAGGUGGUGCAUGGUUGUCGUCAGCUCGUGUCGUGGGAUGUUGGGUUAAGUCCCGCAACGAGCGCAACCCUUACAUUUAGUUGCCAGCACAUAAAGGUGGGAACUCUAAAUGGACAGCCGGGGUAACCCGGAGGA